AGAAGGUAUGACUGUAGCCUUGUGACUAGCCUACAGUAUUUUAGGCCUACUUCAAAAUGUUUUUUUCUGUGUUUUCGAUCAACUGAUAACUAUAAAAACAGAUAUAGUAGACCGAAAGCUUAAAAAGACAGGUGGUGGUCCACGAGAAAAAAAAAUUAUCAAAAGCUUCAGAAGAAAUUGCCUUAACAGCAUCACUGAUGAGGGCCGAGUUAGCAGUGGCUGGUGAUUUUUACGAGACCUUCCGCAGUCACCCAGUAGAUGAAGAAAUAAUUCCCUAUAGAAUGUGCAGAUAGGGCCAUCAACUGUGCUCAAGUCAUUGUUCCUGCCUUGACAGUGAAUGCUCCUGCCUCACCAGUCAUUGCUCCUGCCUCACCAGUCAUUGCUCCUGCCUCGCCAGUCAUUGCUCCUGCCUCACCAACACUGAAGCAGGUUCAGGUACAUUCAGGAGCCUGUGCGUGCGUAACAGACGUGACCAAUCGUCCAAGCGGCUAACAAGCCAAUCAGUGGUGAAUAGGAUAAAAGUAUAUACAUGCUGUUAGAAAUUUAUUUUCUUACAUUUUACAAUUAAAUAAUUUGAUUUAAAGUAAAUAAAUCUACAUUAAUUUAUUUU
rnacentral:lncRNA from 1 species